GGCCCUAUGGUCAAGCGGUCAAGACAUCGCCCUUUCACGGCGGUAACCCGGGUUCGAUUCCCGGUGGGGUCACCA
rnacentral:tRNA from 1 species